rnacentral:rRNA from 1 species
UACGUAGGGCGCAAGCGUUGUCCGGAAUUAUUGGGCGUAAAGAGCUCGUAGGCGGUUUGUCGCGUCGGCUGUGAAAACCUGGGGCUCAACCCCGGGCCUGCAGCCGAUACGGGCAAACUAGAAUUCGGUAGGGGAGACUGGAAUUCCUGGUGUAGCGGUGAAAUGCGCAGAUAUCAGGAGGAACACCGGUGGCGAAGGCGGGUCUCUGGGCCGAUAUUGACGCUGAGGAGCGAAAGCGUGGGGAGCAAACAGG